rnacentral:rRNA from 1 species
UUGUCUCAAAGAUUAAGCCAUGCAUGUCUAAGUAUAAGCAACUAUACUGUGAAACUGCGAAUGGCUCAUUAAAUCAGUUAUCGUUUAUUUGAUAGUACCUUACUACUUGGAUAACCGUGGUAAUUCUAGAGCUAAUACAUGCUAAAAACCUCGACUUCGGAAGGGGUGUAUUUAUUAGAUAAAAAACCAAUGCCCUUCGGGGCUCCCUGGUGAUUCAUAAUAACUUAACGAAUCGCAUGGCCUUGUGCCGGCGAUGGUUCAUUCAAAUUUCUGCCCUAUCAACUUUCGAUGGUAGGAUAGUGGCCUACCAUGGUUUCAACGGGUAACGGGGAAUUAGGGUUCUAUUCCGGAGAGGGAGCCUGAGAAACGGCUACCACAUCCAAGGAAGGCAGCAGGCGCGCAAAUUACCCAAUCCCGACACGGGGAGGUAGUGACAAUAAAUACUGAUACAGGGCUCUUUUGGGUCUUGUAAUUGGAAUGAGUACAAUUUAAAUCCCUUAACGAGGAACAAUUGGAGGGCAAGUCUGGUGCCAGCAGCCGCGGUAAUUCCAGCUCCAAUAGCGUAUAUUAAAGUUGUUGCAGUUAAAAAGCUCGUAGUUGAACCUUGGGCCUGGCUGGCCGGUCCGCCUCACCGCGUGCACUGGUCCGGCCGGGCCUUUCCUUCUGGGGAGCCGCAUGCCCUUCAUUGGGUGUGUCGGGGAACCAGGACUUUUACUUUGAAAAAAUUAGAGUGUUCAAAGCAGGCCUAUGCUCGAAUACAUUAGCAUGGAAUAAUAGAAUAGGACGUGUGGUUCUAUUUUGUUGGUUUCUAGGACCGCCGUAAUGAUUAAUAGGGAUAGUCGGGGGCAUCAGUAUUCAAUUGUCAGAGGUGAAAUUCUUGGAUUUAUUGAAGACUAACUACUGCGAAAGCAUUUGCCAAGGAUGUUUUCAUUAAUCAGUGAACGAAAGUUAGGGGAUCGAAGACGAUCAGAUACCGUCGUAGUCUUAACCAUAAACUAUGCCGACUAGGGAUCGGGCGAUGUUAUCUUUUUGACUCGCUCGGCACCUCACGAGAAAUCAAAGUCUU